rnacentral:rRNA from 1 species
AUACGGAGGGUGCAAGCGUUACUCGGAAUCACUGGGCGUAAAGCGCGCGCAGGCGGCUAUUUAAGUUGGAUGUGAAAGCCUACGGCUCAACCGUAGAACUGCAUCCAAAACUAUUUAGCUAGAGUGUGGGAGAGGAAGAUGGAAUUAGUUGUGUAGGGGUAAAAUCCGUAGAGAUAACUAGGAAUACCAAAAGCGAAGGCAAUCUGCUGGAACACUACUGACGCUGAGGCGCGAAAGCGUGGGGAGCAAACGGGAUUAGAUACCCCAGUAGUCC